rnacentral:rRNA from 1 species
CACUAACUCUGGCGGCAUGCCUAACACAUGCAAGUCGAACGAGACCUUCGGGUCUAGUGGCGCACGGGUGCGUAACGCGUGGGAACCUGCCCUUAGGUUCGGAAUAACUCCCCGAAAGGGGUGCUAAUACCGGAUAAUGUCUUCGGACCAAAGAUUUAUCGCCUUUGGAUGGGCCCGCGUUGGAUUAGCUAGUUGGUAGGGUAAAAGCCUACCAAGGCGACGAUCCAUAGCUGGUCUGAGAGGAUGAUCAGCCACACUGGGACUGAGACACGGCCCAGACUCCUACGGGAGGCAGCAGUGGGGAAUAUUGGACAAUGGGCGAAAGCCUGAUCCAGCAAUGCCGCGUGAGUGAUGAAGGCCUUAGGGUUGUAAAGCUCUUUUACCCGGGAUGAUAAUGACAGUACCGGGAGAAUAAGCUCCGGCUAACUCCGUG